AGAGGACCACGAAGGGGAAAUCUGAGCUGCUGCUGCUGCCGGGCUGCGCGUGAUGUCACUUACACGCACGCGCGCGCGCGCACGUACAUACAAAUACAAAGACCCCCCCCCCCGCCUUCGGGAAAGCCUCAAUAGACUGUGAGGUCGAGUGUUGUCAGCGAGCACCUGUUAAGGGCCAGCAUGCACACAGGUGCGGUGAGUUGUUGCCACCACGACGCCGGGCCGCCUUUCUCUCCCCAACCCCCACGUUCCCGGGGCUGAUGUUUGGACAACCGCAACAGUGUGGACAGCGAGUCGCCGUUGCGUGAUCGUCAGACGACGGCGCAUUAACACUCCGUGGCGGAGUGUUCAGUGGCGAGGGAAUCGAGCAGAGGGGUUGGGGAGAGAGUGGUCGCUCAGAGAGACUACAUUCAGCACCACAUGGACAGCGGUCUAGCCAAGGGAAGACUUCAGACUCGGGGUCCACAUUCAGGCCCAUGGACAACGACCUCACGAAAGGAAGACUUCAGGCUCAGAGUCCACAUUCAGCACCAUGGUGAAGUAUGAGACGCAAACACAAUACAUCUCUUGGAGUCCAGAUGAACUUCAGGAGCAAGAGUGCACACUGACACGAGCACUACACCCGGUGUGGGGCAGUGGUGUGACAGGGACUGCACGCUGGGCCCCUUUAGCCGACGAGAAUGGGGCGGCUGAGCCUCGGUGAGAACCGGGGUGGAGGAGGAGGCACCUGGGAGCCCAGUGAGUUUCUCGUGGAUAGAAAUAGAGGAGAGAGAGGGAGGGAGGGAGAGAGAGAGAGCGACGCCCCCUUCGAAGCAGCACUCCAGACCAGAUAAUUGCCACAGCGGCCCAAGUGAAACCCUCGCUGACCCAUAGACACCUGCAGGCACUUAGGUGGUCGGGGACAGCUACCGAGGGUGCCGGCCCCUCGCUUAAUAAUACAUGGACAUGCUGCUUGCGGGGCACAGGUACUGCGCGUGCCAUGGGAACGAUUAAAGUUGAAUCUUUCAGUUACUUGGAGGCACGCAGAGAUCAACGAUAGCAGUAACUGUGCUUUAGUAAAAUAAUUUGAAUUAGCAAUAAUUUUGGCUGCCAGAAAAUAAGACCGCAGGAGCAGCUGAUGAGCAAUAAAUGUUGGAAGAAUUUGCACCGUUAGCCUUACUGGGCCAUAUCGGCUGGAACCAGGACACGUGGUCCACUUGCUUCUGGAGCGAAUAGCUCACUAGUCAAAGUUCACCUGGCGGGCCACCUUCAGAAGCCGUUGUUACGUCAUGGGCGUCAAUACCGAAGAGAGGCGCGCAAUCUAUGGCAUAUCCCGCUCAUCUUCUUGGUUCUUUCGGUAAAGUCACGUAGAAAGAAAUUAAUAAAAUAAUAAAAAUAAAACAUAAUAAAAUAAUUCUCACGACGUUUCGGCCACAACGCAAGUAGCCGUCUUCAGGUGAAGACUAGGUGAAGAAUAAGUCUGUCAAGGAGACAGAAUCUGAGAAUGAUUUUAUUUUGUUUUAUUUUUAUUAUUUUAUUAAUUUAUUUCUACGUGACUUUACUGAAAGAACCAAGAAGAUGAAUCCCUGCAGUCACGAAAGCUUUAAAUCGAAAUCUCCCGCUCAGUUAAACUUCAGGGCUGUGUUUUCGACAAUAUUUAUACCGUACAGCUCGAAUCAAUACAGAUUACAUUAUAUCCCACUAGAGGGCAGCAUUAUUAAGAUUUAAUGCCUCCGUAAAUAAUAUGACGGUUUUGAACCCAGACCUGCGAACGAUUGUAUCUAGAGGUUCUGAACGGUGUUGAAUCCAAAUGUUUAUUUUAAUAAAAAAUACAGUAUACAUAUACAGUAUAUACAGUAUACGUAUACUGUAUUCAGUGGGUCGGUCAAUGUAUUUGGAGGAAGGUUUUAGGCUCGGCAGGGCAACCUAGAAGACAAUCUUACAGGACAACAAUCGAAAGAAACGCCUCCCACAAGCCCUGCCUCAUAUAACGAGAAGUCCCGCCCAUUAAUGACAAAGUCCCUCCCAGUAAAAAGGUAGCUCCACCCAUUAUAGAAAAGAUUCACCAAGGGGCCAUCCAUUUAGUACGUACGCAUGGAGGGGGGAGGGGGGGUUA